AGAGUUUGAUCCUGGCUCAGGACGAACGCUGGCGGUGUGCUUAACACAUGCAAGUCAAGGAGAAUUUUAUCUUCGGAUAAAUAGUAAACUGGCGAACGGGUGAGUAACGCGUAAAUAACUUGCCUCGGAGAUUGGGACAACAUUGGGAAACCAGUGCUAAUACCAAAUAAUGCAGCGGGCCCUUCGGGGCAUAGUUGUUAAAGUAGGCUUCGGCUUACACUUCAAGAUAGAUUUGCGUCCGAUUAGUUAGUUGGUAGGGUAAUAGCCUACCAAGACCGAGAUCGGUAGCUGGUCUGAGAGGAUGAUCAGCCACACUGGAAUUGAGAUACGGUCCAGACUCCUACGGGAGGCAGCAGUGAGGAAUUUUGCACAAUGGGCGAAAGCCUGAUGCAGCAACACCGCGUGAUUGAUGAAGUUUUUAGGAAUGUAAAAAUCUGUCGUAAGGGAAGAAAUGUUUCGGAUGUUAAUACCAUCUGUUACUGACGGUACCUUACAAGAAAGGACCGGCUAACUUCGUGCCAGCAGCCGCGGUAAUACGAGGGGUCCUAGCGUUGUCCGGAUUUACUGGGCGUAAAGGGUACGUAGGCGUUUUAAUAAGUUAUAUGUUAAAUAUCUUAGCUUAACUAAGAAAGUGCAUAUAAAACUGUUAAAAUAGAGUUUGAGAGAGGAACGCAGAAUUCAUGGUGGAGCGGUGACAUGCGUAGAUAUCAUGAGGAAAGUCAAAUGCGAAGGCAGCCUUCUGGCUCAAAACUGACGCUGAGGUACGAAAGCGUGGGGAGCGAACAGGAUUAGAUACCCUGGUAGUCCACGCC
rnacentral:rRNA from 1 species